AUGCGCGAGCACUUGUGCUGCGCCAGCGCGAACGGGUCGGCGUACUCCUCCUUGCAGAGCUGGCAGAUGAACUCGCCCAGCGGCCGCGCGGCGCCCCCCGUCCGGCCCCGCUGGCGCCUCCACCGGGCCCUCCUUGAUCUUGAGCCCGAGCACAGGCGACGUGGUCACCUCGUCCUCGAAGUGCAGCUUGCGGAUGGCCUUGGGCUUCUUGGCGCCCGGGGCCUUGGCCACCUUGGCGGGCGGCUCGGCGGCGGCGGCGGCGGCGGCGGCGGGGGGCGCGGGCCGCUUGCCCGGGGGCCGCAGGGAGGCGGCGGGGGGCAGCGGCGGGCCGGGCCCGGGGCCGCGGGCCGCUUCGGCGCCCGCGGAGAACGCGGUGCCCAUCUUGAGCUCGGCGGGCGCGAAGAGCAGCGGGUCGCCGCCGCAGGUGCCGCCGCCGCAGGUGCCGCCGCCGCCCGGGCCGUUCGCGCCGCCGCCAACGCCGCCGCCUCCGAGCAGGGCGGCGGGCGUGGGGAAGGACUCGGCCGAGACCGGCGACCCGAGGUUGAAGCUGCGCUCGAAGUACUUGUGCUUCUCGUGCUCGCGGCUCACGGGCCGCGUGGGGCUGUAGAGCGGCGCCGGGUGCGCGGCCUCGGGGUUGCCGAAGUGCGCGGCCCGCGGGCCCGGCGGGGGCGGGGGCGGGGGCGGGGGCGGCGGGCCCGGCGCGCAGGCGAGCGCGGCAGCGAGCACCGCAUGGGCGCGCUCGGCGGGCGGCGGCGGCGGCGGCGGCGGCGGAGGCGGCGGCAGCGGGCCCGGCCCCGGCCCCGGCCCCGGCCCCGGCCCCGGGCUCGGCGCGGGGGGCUCGGCGCGGGCGCCCCCGCAGCCCGGCGACAGCAGCGGCGCGCGGUCGCCGUCCUCGCCGCCGCGGACCCGGUAGGACACGGGCGUGGACUUCUUGCUGCGCUUCACCAGGAAGCCGCGGGGCAUGUUGGCGCGGCGCGAGGGCGAGGCGCUGGCUCGGUCCCCCCUCGGCGCUCGGCCCCGGCGGCCCUCAGUGGCCCCGGCCCAUGGCCCGGGCGCGGCGGCUGCGGGACUCGCGUGGCGGUGGCGGUGGCGGUGGCGCUGGCGCGGCUCGGCCCGGCUCUGCGCCCUGCACGCGCGUCCCAGUCCCCGGGCCCGGGCGCCGCUCCCUUUUAA
rnacentral:lncRNA from 1 species